ACAAAUUACGAUUUAAAGUAAAAUUUUAAUUUUGUUUGUACAAAAUAGUAUAAAAUGCGUACUAAAUAGUACACGCAUUUUCGUUGAAAAUAUUGAUAUGGGCGUUUCCAACUUCACAGACCACGUUAUGAUGAAGUCAUUCCUAUCGAAUCCUCUGUUGGUGCUGGUAACCUGUCGGUAGAAGCUACAUGGAACGUCAGUUCUCUUCUUUUAAUUUACUGUUAAAUUUAAGUAAUUCUAAUUGUUAAAUAUCUUUCGAUGUCUCAUUUGUCGUAUUUAGUCGGUUAAUUCUCGUUUUAUUUAGGUUUUUCGAUCGCUGUGCGUAGUUAGUGUUGUGUCAUCGCAGUUGGCACGUUGCCAAUGCAGUAGAUGUUGGUUAACUCCUUAUUUUUCAGCUAUUUUUACUAUUUUAUCCUUAUUCCUUAGCAUUUUUCUUUCUUUGGACACCCCUUUUGUUAACUUUUAGUAGUUUUAUAAGUUUAGAUGGCUCGAUUUUUUUCUUUUAAGGCUAAGUUUAAGUUUAAUUUGGUUUCGCUUUUUUUUACGUUUGGUUCCUUUAUAAAGACUUAUGUUUUUGUAAGUGAAUGGGGAAGAGGUUCGGUGUCGGAAAUUUCUUUAUUUUGUUUGCCUACGUUCGGCAGUUUUCGCGUAAUUUGGCCAUUUCCGGUUCAUUGCUCUAAGCUUCUAGAAAAUUGUUGACUUCCUGUGUUUUUAGUUUUCUUUCUCUCGCCUCCAGAACCUGAUUUUCAAAUAGUUUUAAGUAAUUUUAAGUUAGCUUUAAAUAAACUUUAACUAAUUUUAAGUAGCUUAGUAGUAGCAAUAUCGGCGGUUUAUCUUGUAUGGCGAAAUUUUUGUGUUUGUUUUUAUUAUUUAGAGUUCAUUCUUUGUAUUUAUUCACUCCUUGAUUUAUUUAUUUUGCCUUCAGCUUACGGUUCCGGGUUCGAAAUCGAAUCCGGACGGUCUAUCUCGGAUAUAUUAGGCCCAAUCUCUUAUAACCCGUCCGUCCCACGAACCCACGAUGAGCAAGGAAUAAAGGCUCUCUUAGUACCCACAAGAAGAAAGGCGACCUCCAAAAGACCGAUAAGGCCAUCGAUACAUAGAAUGGUUUAACUACGUGAUAAUGUCAUGCGGCUAAAAGAUACUAUUAGUGACAGUAUUAAUCGUUUUAUAGAGAAUAACUAAAUUGAAACUUGGUUUAUGAGGUUAUGGGAUUCGUAGCUUCCAAAGUACAUAAAUAGGUAGCAAUUUUUAUCUGACCAGAUAAUUGCUUGCUUACGUAGAUGACAAUUAUCACCUUUGUCCCACUGAUCUUGUCGCUUGACCCAAUACACAGUUAAUAAGUCUGUUAUUUGACAAGAUAAUAUCGUAAAUUUUCUUAACAGGCUUAUUUUAAUUCGGAUGAUGGCCAAAUUAUUGGGGAAAAUAGGACUCGGUCUAGGUCUUAUCGACGACGUGAAACGUUUUUUACAUAAAUAAAAAAACGUUAUCCUGAUUAACGAUUAUAUUCUUAAAUGAUCUGACGAUUACUUUUGUGAUUUCUAUUCUACAAUAUGUUUAAGAUUUACAUUGAUGGCCCUACAUAGUAGACGAUGCAGGUGUUUCUUUUGUAUCUUACGCAGAUACAGGGCAGUAUCUUAAAUCACUGUUUUUAUAGAUUGUAUAGGUACUGUACUAGACGUGAGGUUUAAUUUACAUAAAGCAAAAUUCUACGUAACUUCAAAAAAUGUAAUAGUUUUACACAGGAUUUCGAAAUUCGAUAGUUGCUUAAAGUUCAUAUACUUGAUUACGUUACAUUAUCGACGCUUAGACAACACUUAAAUAUAUUUCGUACGGAUCUUUGGUCAUGCGAUGCUGUCGACUUGCAUAUUAUUGCGGAUUACGUUUAGUACAGAGUAACUUAGCUUACUGUUAGGAAAGAUUUUUAUAAUAGGCCCAUCACGGAUUCGGCCAGACUCAUGAUGGUUAGAUGAGGCCUGCCGUAUCUGAGUUAGACCAUUUUUGAGAGUUCUGAGGAUUCGACUAGGACUUGAAACUUGAUUCAUUGAAUAACAGACUAAAUCAGCAGAAAACUGCGUGAGCCAUUCGGAUUUAGGACCAGGUAGAAUACAAUUAGGUAACUUUCUACUAGGUAGAACUUUUUAACGAUAAGAGGAUAAGGUUAAAAGUUCCAUUCAAGUUUUAUUUUUAAAUGAGUUUUAGAAUAAGUAGCUUUAAUUAGUUGUAAAUUAACAUAAAGCAGUUUUAAUAUAAUUUAAUAGUGUUUUUAUCUGUAGGCUAGAAAUUAAUAAUAAUCUGGGUAAGUUGUUUUUAAGUUAGCUAAGAUUUGUAUAGUGCCUAAGCUUUUCAAUAACAAGCAAUCUAUAACACUAUUCUACCUAGCUAACAAUUUAUUAUUGCUUCAUGAAUCUUGGCUGCAUUGAAUAAACUACAGGAACCAGUCUUGCAAAUUAAGCCCGAAGUUCUUUCUUUUACUAUCUCCCAUCACAGGUUCCUCUUUCUACUCCUUCCUUUCCUACUCCUGUUUUUCAGGCUAAACACACUAACACAUCCCUUUAUAUACAAUUGAAAGGAAGGCAAUGGUUAAGGUUGGUAUAGAACCUCCCGGAAGAUAAAC